rnacentral:rRNA from 1 species
UACGUAGGGGGCUAGCGUUAUCCGGAAUUACUGGGCGUAAAGGGUGCGUAGGUGGUUUCUUAAGUCAGAGGUGAAAGGCUACGGCUCAACCGUAGUAAGCCUUUGAAACUGGGAAACUUGAGUGCAGGAGAGGAGAGUGGAAUUCCUAGUGUAGCGGUGAAAUGCGUAGAUAUUAGGAGGAACACCAGUUGCGAAGGCGGCUCUCUGGACUGUAACUGACACUGAGGCACGAAAGCGUGGGGAGCAAACAGGAUUAGAUACCCCGGUAGUCCCUUGAGCGGG